rnacentral:rRNA from 1 species
AUUGAACGCUGGCGGCAUGCUUUACACAUGCAAGUCGAACGGCAGCGCGGGCUUCGGCCUGGCGGCGAGUGGCGAACGGGUGAGUAAUACAUCGGAACGUGCCCAGUAGUGGGGGAUAGCUCGGCGAAAGCCGGAUUAAUACUGCAUCCGACCUGAGGGUGCAAGCGGGGGAUCUUCGGACCUCGCGCUAUUGGAGCGGCCGAUGGCAGACUAGAUAGGUGGGGGGGUAGAGGCCUACCAAGGCGGCGAUCCGUAGCUGGUCUCAGAGGACGACCAGCCACACUGGGACAGAGACACGGCCCCGACACUGACGGGAGGCAGCAGUGGGGAAUUUUGGACGAUGGGGGAGAGCCGGAUCCAGCAAUGUCGGGUGUGGGAUGAUGGACUUCGGGUUGGAGAGCGCUGUAGGCGGGAACGAAGAGGACUUUGCCAAUACCACGGUUCGAUGACGGUACCCGCAGAAUAAGCACCGGCUAACUACGUG